UGUGUUCCUGUCAAUUGUCUGAGAUGUAACACCACAGAAAAAACUCAGUCAGGUAAAAAAAAAAAAAAAAAAAAGAGGAACCCCUCACUCUAAUUAUAGACUACAUUUUGAAAUGUUAUGUACCAACUAAUGUGCCUGAACAUUGUCUGCCAUUAAAAACCGUGAGGUGAGAUGCAAAGGAAAAAUGUUCUUAAUGCUUUUCCUUCCGUCUCUGUUUUCCCUAUAGAGCCUUGUACACACUGCUCAAACAAUCUAACACAGUGCAUCAGUGAUAUUCCAUCAGACUGCAAAAAAGACUUUCAGGUUUCUGUCAACAGCACUGGAUCCAAGCUUCAGGAGGGCGAUGCCGUCAAUCUAACAUGUGUCCAUAAUCUUCCCGAUUUGAUUUUGACAUUUGUGUGGAAGAGGGAAGGAAUGGAAAUUCUGAGAGGCCAAAACAAAAGCGUGCUGUUUCUCGAAAAAGUGUUGACGCAUUGCAACGGCCAGUACAUCUGCUUUGUGAAGAGCCUGUGUGGCGAUUACGAGUCUGCGCCACACGAUGUCACUGUAGAGAGUAAGUACACAUGUCCCUGUUUAUUUCACACAGACACAGAUUACAUGUGUAAUGUAGAUUUUAAGUUAACCAGCCUGAAAAUAAUGCA
rnacentral:lncRNA from 1 species